rnacentral:rRNA from 1 species
GAGUUUGAUCGUGGCUCAGAUUGAACGCUGGCGGAAUGCUUUACACAUGCAAGUCGAGCGGCAGCGCGGGGCAACCUGGCGGCGAGCGGCGAACGGGUGAGUAAUGCAUCGGAACAUGUCCAUGGAGUGGGGGAUAACCCGGCGAAAGCCGGAUUAAUACCGCAUGAGCCCGAGAGGGGAAAGGUGGGGACCGCAAGGCCUCACGUCGAGUGGGUUGGCCGAUGCCCGAUUAGCUAGUUGGUGAGGUAAUGGCUCACCAAGGCGAUGAUCGGUAGCUGGUCUGAGAGGAUGAUCAGCCACACUGGGACUGAGACACGGCCCAGACUCCUACGGGAGGCAGCAGUGGGGAAUUUUGGACAAUGGGGGCAACCCUGAUCCAGCCAUUCCGC